UGAGGAAUAUUGGUCAAUGGGCGAGAGCCUGAACCAGCCAAGUAGCGUGCAGGAUGACGGCCCUAUGGGUUGUAAACUGCUUUUAUGUGGGGAUAAAGUGCGUGACGUGUCAUGCAUUGCAGGUACCACAUGAAUAAGGACCGGCUAAUUCCGUGCCAGCAGCCGCGGUAAUACGGAAGGUCCGGGCGUUAUCCGGAUUUAUUGGGUUUAAAGGGAGCGUAGGCUGUCUAUUAAGCGUGUUGUGAAAUUUACCGGCUCAACCGGUGGCUUGCAGCGCGAACUGGUCGACUUGAGUAUGCAGGAAGUAGGCGGAAUUCAUGGUGUAGCGGUGAAAUGCUUAGAUAUCAUGACGAACUCCGAUUGCGCAGGCAGCUUACGGGAGCGCAACUGACGCUGAAGCUCGAAGGUGCGGGUAUCGAACAGG
rnacentral:rRNA from 1 species